GGCUCCAUAGUGAAGCGGUUAACACAUCAGCCUUUCACGCUGACGACGCGGGUUCGAAUCCCGCUGGGGUCACCA
rnacentral:tRNA from 1 species